rnacentral:rRNA from 1 species
UACAGAGGGGGCGAGCGUUGUUCGGAAUUACUGGGCGUAAAGGGCGCGUAGGCGGCCUUCUAAGUCGAACGUGAAAUCCCCGGGCUCAACCCGGGAACUGCGUCCGAUACUGGAAGGCUUGAAUCCGGGAGAGGGAUGCGGAAUUCCAGGUGUAGCGGUGAAAUGCGUAGAGAUCCGGAGGAACCCCAGAGGCGAAGGCGGCGUCCUGGCUCACAACUGACGCUCAGACACGACAGCAUGGGGAGCGAACGGG